rnacentral:rRNA from 1 species
AAUCGGAAUUACUGGGCGUAAAGCGCAUGCAGGCGGUUUGUUAAGUCAGAUGUGAAAGCCCGGGGCUCAACCUCGGAACCGCAUUUGAAACUGGCAGGCUAGAGUCUUGUAGAGGGGGGUAGAAUUUCAGGUGUAGCGGUGAAAUGCGUAGAGAUCUGAAGGAAUACCAGUGGCGAAGGCGGCCCCCUGGACAAAGACUGACGCUCAGAUGCGAAAGCGUGGGUAGCAAACAGGAUUAGAUACCCUGGUAGUCCACGCCGUAAACGCUGUCUACUUGGAGGUUGAGGUUUUAGACUUUGGCUUUCGGCGCUAACGCAUUAAGUAGACCGCCUGGGGAGUACGGCCGCAAGGUUAAAACUCAAAUGAAUUGACGGGGGCCCGCACAAGCGGUGGAGCAUGUGGUUUAAUUCGAUGCAACGCGAAGAACCUUACCUACUCUUGACAUCCAGCGAAGCCUUUAGAGAUAGAGGCGUGCCUUCGGGAGCGCUGAGACAGGUGCUGCAUGGCUGUCGUCAGCUCGUGUUGUGAAAUGUUGGGUUAAGUCCCGCAACGAGCGCAACCCUUAUCCUUGUUUGCCAGCACAUAAUGGUGGGAACUCCAGGGAGACUGCCGGUGAUAAACCGGAGGAAGGUGGGGACGACGUCAAGUCAUCAUGGCCCUUACGAGUAGGGCUACACACGUGCUACAAUGGCAGAUACAGAGGGCAGCGAGACAGCGAUGUUUAGCGAAUCCCUUAAAGUUUGUCGUAGUCCGGAUUGGAGUCUGCAACUCGACUCCAUGAAGUCGGAAUCGCUAGUAAUCGUGGAUCAGAAUGCCACGGUGAAUACGUUCCCGGGCCUUGUACACACCGCCCGUCACACCAUGGGAGUGGGCUGCACCAGAAGUAGAUAGCUUAACCU